CGUAUUUUUCGAACGUAGUCAGCAACAACAGUACACAGCCGGCGCUUCUUUGUUUACAUUCCCGAAAGAUGCAGUCAAGAUGGAAGAACUCGGAUAACAGAGACUCUAACCAGGAGGACUUUUGAUUUGGAUACACAGACGCCUGUAGAGAACUGGGACAACACAGACUCUUACCAGGAUUACUUUGAUUUGGAUGACAAAGACGCAGACGUGCUACUGCCUCGUAUGAAGGAAGGAAUUCAUCGAAAUGUUGGGGUGGAUAGUCGCCAUUGUUAUGUCAAGUCGGCUCGGCGUGAAUCCCUCGAUUGUAUGGAGGCCACUCAAGUCUUUAACAAAGUGUCACUGUCACGUGUCCUUCACAAGACUCCACCCCUCUCCUCAAACCAUGGACCACAGCACCACCUGAUGGCCGCACAGAUACUGCACUCACACGUCCUGCUGCUGCUUGCAGGUGGAACCAGGAGAUGUGUCACAUGACCCUCACUGACCUGGCGGGACCCCCGAGGAGAUGGUGGAGGACGACAGAUGGCCUUGACCCUUGGACGUCAUGCCGGCCACCUCGAUGGUGUAGGUGGUGAGCGCCGUCAGUCCGGUGACGCGGUACUCCAAGGUCAGACUGGGCAGGUAAUGUGUGACCCGCGUGUUGGUGCGGUUAAACUCCUCCCACGAGAUACGGUAACCUGCAAUAUGAUAAUAGGAACUAAGUUAUUCAUAUUUUCUACAUUUAUUACACCGGAACCACAAAUAAUGCAAUACAUAAAAAAGGCAUUUAAUUAUAUUUUGCAUCAUACAGAGAGUUAUUAAAUUAAAAUAAUCAUGUUAUAGGGAUUUAUUUUAAAAUUUAUUUGGGGUAAAAAAAGUAAAAAAAAAAAAAAAGUAGUAUGUUAACUAAUACAUACAAAAUCAAAUAUAUGUAAAAAUAUUAGAGAACACUUUAUUAAAAAUAC